rnacentral:lncRNA from 1 species
GGGGGGGGUUUGUAGCUUGAGUUGUAUGUGUUACAUAGUUCUUGAGAAGAAUAGACGGUUUCUUGCUACGUUGGCCGCGUCCCAAAACCUCAGGCAAACCCGGUGACGGUGGAUCAGAUGAUGUCUCAGGAGCAACAGUAGUAGGAGCAGGCGGUAAUGGUUCAGUAGAAGAGGUAGCACUAAUGUCCGAUGAAGACACAUGAGCACUGGGAUUAUCAGAUGGAGUAGAAUUAGAAGGAGAUGGUAGCGACGGAGGCAUAGUUGAUGGUGCAUGUUCUUGUGCAGAAGUAUUGCUCCCCCUUGAUACAGGGAUCGGCUCAAGCCAAUCAUCCACUGGCGUAGUAACCUGAAGAACCGGUGGAGAUACAUACGGAGAAUCAGCAAUACCAGGAAACUUGCUUCAAAGAAAGUUACGUCCCGGCUCACAAAGAACUCAUUUCUUUCAAGAUCAAACAGUCGCCAGCCUUUAGUUCCAAAGGGAUAGCCCACAAAUAUACACUUGCGGCUUCUCUCCCCAAAUUUAUCCUUGUCUCGUGCCUGUCGAGGAGCAUAGCAC